rnacentral:misc_RNA from 1 species
GAUGAAGAACGUAGCGAAAUGCGAUAAGUAAUGUGAAUUGCAGAAUUCAGUGAAUCAUCGAAUCUUUGAACGCACAUUGCGCCCGCGAGUAUUCUCGCGGGCAUGCCUGUCCGAGUGUCAUUUCAACCCUCAGGGCCCGCCUGCUUGCAGGCGCGGCGCUGGUGUUGGGGAUCGGCUACCCUGCCGUCCCCCAAAUACAGUGGCGGUCUCGCUGCAGCCUCCCCUGCGUAGUAGCAACACUCGCAUGCGGAGCGCGGCGCGGCCACGCCGUAAAACCCCCGACUUUCUGAACGUUGACCUCGGAUCAGGUAGGAAUACCCGCUGAACUUAAGCAUAUCAAUAAGCGGAGGA